rnacentral:rRNA from 1 species
UGGCGGACGGGUGAGUAAUGUCUGGGAAACUGCCUGAUGGAGGGGGAUAACUACUGGAAACGGUAGCUAAUACCGCAUAACGUCGCAAGACCAAAGAGGGGGACCUUCGGGCCUCUUGCCAUCAGAUGUGCCCAGGUGGGAUUAGCUAGUAGGUGGGGUAACGGCUCACCUAGGCGACAAUCCCUAGCUGGUCUGAGAGGAUGACCAGCCACACUGGAACUGAGACACGGUCCAGACUCCUACGGGAGGCAGCAUG